rnacentral:rRNA from 1 species
UACGUAGGGGGCAAGCGUUGUCCGGAAUCAUUGGGCGUAAAGAGCGCGUAGGCGGCCCUGUAAGUCCGCUGUGAAAGUCAAGGGCUCAACCCUUGAAUGCCGGUGGAUACUGCAGGGCUAGAGUCCGGAAGAGGCGAGUGGAAUUCCUGGUGUAGCGGUGGAAUGCGCAGAUAUCAGGAGGAACACCGAUGGCGAAGGCAGCUCGCUGGGACGUUACUGACACUGAGGCGCGAAAGCGUGGGGAGCGAACAGG